rnacentral:tRNA from 1 species
GGCCUGGUAGCUCAGUGGUAGAGCGAGGGACUGAAAAUCCCUGCGUCGGUGGUUCAAUUCCGCCCCGGGCCACCA